UGCAAGUCUUAUCCUUGAUGGUCCCUUCCCUUGAUUUUUUGAACGAUUCGCCAUCACUGAAGCUGCUUUCGGAGUUUCCAUUCACUGCUUCAUUCACGAUAUUGUUACUGUUGGUGGUGGUGUUGUGGCUGCUUUCAGACUUUCUUUUCUUUGAAAUUGGGCUGAGCUCCUUCUCAGGGUUCUUGCUCAUGUACUCCAACAUUUGGGUUCUCAAAGCAUUGUAGUUCUCUCCCAUCACCGUCAAUAUUUCGUCCUGCAGGACUUCCUGAAAACGAUACCACUGCAGAAUUUGGCAAUCAAUGAUCGUAAAAUUCUUGAAGAACACUGUAGAAUGGGGAUAGGAAAGGAGUGGGGCAAGAUUUCUCACAUCCCAACUAUCAAAAUCAAUUUCGAAAACUUUCAAUGAGAUGGCCUUGAGUUCACAAAUACAAUGAUUUAUAGAAGAGAAGUUUCUGACACUUUUCAACUAUACCGCAUGCUUGGUGAAUUCUGCCAGUUAAUGAAGGGAAACUGCAAAAAUGUGACGCGCUUCAACUUUCAGUUCCACAAGUAUCAUCCUAGUGUUCUGAGUAAAGCAAACAAAACUGUUAUACGUUGUACAUUGAAGCAAAAUAGAUGGUGAUAAUUGUUCUAAACCAGACAUCUAUUGAGGAAGUAAGUUAUGGAAUAUUGAUGGACAGACAAGUAAUUAGAAAAUUUUUCCAUGGACCUGGCCGUAUCCUUUUCCUUGGUGAAAUCAUUAACUGAUUCUGAUUAAAUUCAGUCAAGUUUUCAUGGAGCUGGGGGAAUUAUCGUACCACCGGUUGCUUCCACUUCAGGAGUUUCAUGGCAGAAGCAGUUGAAAGAGAUGCAGUUUCGAGUCUAAAGGCGAACUGCAGGAGCCAACCCUAGCCACAAUAUCUAUGGAUGUAUGUAUUUUUUUUAUACAACAGCAAUCAAUGAAGUCUUUAGAUAUAAGGUACUCCAUUAGGCUGGAGUCUAGAGUGCUCUUCUGUAUAUAAAACAUGUUGAAUCAAUUCUGUUGGUUUAUACAUAUUAUUAUUAGUGACU